UCAGCAGUGAUUCACUUAACAACUCUGGCAAGAAAGGUCAUAAAAUGUGACAAAACUCACUCAGCAAAAAUCUCACAACAACAUAGGUUUUGGGCUCAAUUGUGUUCGUAAGUCAAGAACUACCUAUAUUAAGGUUAGAAAGGAAACGGGAAGGAAAGAAUUAGCAGGAUGAGUUCAUUAAAUCAUUAUGCGUGUGUGUGUGUGUGUGGGUGUGUGUGU